rnacentral:rRNA from 1 species
CAGUAGGGAGGAAGGUAGUGUAGUUAACACCUGCAUUAUUUGACGUUACCUACAGAAGAAGCACCGGCUAACUCCGUGCCAGCAGCCGCGGUAAUACGGAGGGUGCGAGCGUUAAUCGGAAUUACUGGGCGUAAAGCGCAUGCAGGCGGCCUGUUAAGUCAGAUGUGAAAGACCCGGGGCGUUAACCUCGGAAUUGCAUUUGAAACUGGCAGGCUAGAGUCUUGUAGAGGGGGGUAGGAAUUUCAGGUGUAGCGGUGAAAUAGCGUAGAGAUCUGAAGGAAUACCAGUGGCGAAGGCGGCCCCCUGGACAAAGACUGACGCUCAGAUGCGAAAGCGUGGGGAGCAAACAGGAUUAGAUACCCUGGUAG